rnacentral:lncRNA from 1 species
UAAUUAGAGGCAAAAUUAAUGCAUUGUUGACUUAAAUGGGCCAGCAUCCUGUCCUGUGGCGGGAGGCUAUGUGGGCCGAGUCAUGUUCGAAAUGGCGUGAGGCUGGGUUGAGCCGAGUCAUGUUCGAAGUGGCGUGAGGCCAGGUGGGCCCAGUCACAAUCGAGACCCGUGGGCGCUGUUUCUGUACGCUUUAAGUGAAUUGGUUGCGUAUUUCUAACAGCUCGAGCAUUUGGGAUUAAUGGUUAGCGUCAGCGAUCCGACACAUUGUUGGCUUAAAUGGGCAAGCAUCCUGCCCUGUGGCGGGAGGCCAUGUGGGCCGAGUCAUGUUCGAAAUGGCGUAAGGCUGAGUUGGGUCGAGUCAUUUUGAAGUGGCGUGAGACCAGGUGGGCCGAGUCACAAUCGAGACCCGUGGGCGCUGUUUCUGUACGCUUUAAGUGAAUUGGUUGCGUAUUUCUAACAGCUCGAGCUUUUGGGAUUAAUGGUUAGCGCCAACGAUCCGACAAGUGGUAUCAGAGCCAGAGGUCACGGGUUCGAUUCCUGCAUGCUGCAAAUGUGUGCAGGUGCUGUAUGGGGGAUUGUCGGCUUAAAUGGGCCAGCAUCCUGCCCUGUGGCGGGAGGCCAUGUGGGCCAAGCCAUGUUCGAAAUGGCAUGAGGCUGGGUUGGGCCGAGUCAUGUUCGAAGUAGUAUGAGGCCAGGUGGGCCGAGUCACAAUCGAGACCCGUGGGCACUGUUUCUGUACGCUUUAAGUGAAUUGGUUGCGUAUUUCUAACAGCUCGAGCUUUUGGGAUUAAUAGUUAGCGCCAACGAUCCGACAGACAGUGAAUUCUGAGCUCUCCUGAAAAGUUUUAUCUCAUGCUUAAUGAAUUUUUUAUUAGGGUCCGUUUGGUUCAAGGCAAAACUAUGAAAAAUAAUUUUUAAUGGAAAAAUAUUUUUGGUGGAAAUUUUUUUUUUACAUUUUAUAGUGUUUGAAUCGUAGGAAAAAAAAUAAUUUUCUAUCAACAUUGGUUUAGUUGGAAGGAAAAAAAUUUACAUUUAUUUUAUUUGAUGGAAAAAAAAUAAAUGAAAAAUUUUUACACAGAUCGAGUUUUUAUUUUCAACCCGCAAAAUGGUAGAAAAUGAAAGCUUUAAUUUUCUUUCAAAAACGUAAAAAUAAUUUUAUACGACAAACCAAACGAAUAAAAAAAUAUUUUUUAUAUAGAAAAUAAUUUUUCAAUCCGUUUUACGCAGAACCAAAAGAGGAGUAUAAAACUAAGGUAAACUUCAAAUACCACCCAUGUGGUUUCGCACUUUCUCACUUUAGUACCCUGUGGUUUAAAGUGUAUCAAUUUAAUGUCCUGUAGUUUUAUUUUUCUCUUUUCGUCAGCUUUUUCGUUAAUAUUUCGUUAAAUUAUAUACAAAAAAACUUCAUAUAUCCACUUAGGUUUAUCUAAUAUUCACUAUAGUACCCUUUAGUUUGAACUUUGUCACUGAUUUAAGAAAAAAAAAAUAAUGGAAUUAAUAAUAUAAAGCGAAAAAUAAAAUCACAGGAAACUAAAUUAAUACACUUUAAACUAUAAGAUAUUAAAUUAAAAAAGUGCGAAAUCAUAGGGGUAAUAUUUAAAGUUUCCUGAGCUCCUAUUU